UACGUAGGCAGCAAGCGUUGUUCGGAAUUACUGGGCGUAAAGAGUGUGUAGGCGGUGCCCUAAGUUUGGGGUGAAAUCUCCCGGCUCAACUGGGAGGGUGCAUCGAAAACUGGGGUGCUCGAGGGUGGGAGAGGUAAGCGGAAUUCCUGGUGUAGCGGUGAAAUGCGUAGAUAUCAGGAGGAACACCUGUGGUGUAGACAGCUUACUGGACCACUUCUGACGCUGAGACACGAAAGCGUGGGUAGCAAACAGG
rnacentral:rRNA from 1 species